AAACAUGCUAGGAAAAGGAUAGGUAUUAUUUUUACAGCUAACAGAGAGGGAAGAAUUGCUGCGAACUUCCCAGUGAUGGAAAAUAAUACACCACCUUGGAGCCGUAUUGGGGAAAGUAGAGUAACCAAUACCGUCUACGCUGCGUUAAAGCGUCCAAAGCCAAUGAAGUAUUUCAUUGGGAAGUUGGGUGGAACCACGAGUAAACGCACUCGUCCCUUUA
rnacentral:ncRNA from 1 species